rnacentral:lncRNA from 1 species
AUGACUACAGCUGGCAGUCGUUGGGGUGUCGUGAUGUCAAGAAACGCAGGAUUUUUCGACUAGGUUGUAGAACUUGAUUUUCUUUACCCAAGUGAAGGAAUACAUCGUAGAUGGGAGAGUGGGUACAGGAUACCAUCUAUGGCUGCCACACCUGAUCAAGCAGCGUUCAUUUUGAGUUUCCCGAGCGUAAAAUAAUGGACGAGACACAAGAAACCUUGAGAACAUCCGCCUUCCCGAGUACCCAUGUGAAGGAAAAAUGGUCAAAGAACCAUUAUAUUGCAUCCUGUGUUAUGAUUGAACCGUAUGCUGACUGAUGCUGGUAACAGAGGCUACAUUUUACUGAAAACCCCCACUGGAGUUGAAUACAUUUGGGGGUUUUAUAAACUGGGAUUCCGUGUGAACGGAAAAUUUUGGUGUAACGUAAAGAUGGCCGUGUUCUAUUACUAUGUAAGAUCAUAAUAGAUUUGAUAAAGAUAAGAAAGAAACCAAAAAAAGAGAGAGUAUAAACUAUAAAGAGAAAUGUGUGUCAAAUAUGAAUUUAAGUUAGGGUGUAGAUGAACAGAACAUUUGGUUUGUC